CCCCAUAACAGCACUUUCUCCCUUUGCUCCUUUAGGUCUAAAGGUGACAUUACAUUCCUGAUGGAACCUUCCUGGAUCAGGGAACUGAGGCUCAGAGAAGUAACUUCCCCAGGAUCAAACAGCUGUCAUGGAAGCAUGUGUUGAAAUGGAGUUGCCAAAAGAUUAAAGAUAGGUGGAUUGCUGACCCACUGCAUGGAGGCAGUUGCCAUAUGGAGUCACUUGGACCUGCGCUGACUUGGUAUAAAGGCAAAAUAAGCUUUUAUUGUGUUUAGAAACUGAAAAUUUGGUGCUGUUCAUUACCGCAGCAUAACCUAACCUAUCCUGACUGAAACAGUGAAGGAGCUGAGAUCAAAACCAAGGUUUUCUAAAUCAAAAGUCAGUGUCUUUAACCACUAGAAAAUACUGCUUCUCCCUGUCUCUUAAUCCAUGGAAAUUUCUUGGAAGCUGUGGCCUUAGAAGGAUGAGUGAAAGGGGACAAAGAAAAGAAAGUCAUACUCAUGAGGACUAUUACUGAAGGGAGAAAAAGGUUAGAAAAGGGAUUAGCAAACAAUCAUGCUUGUCUUUCCUUUGCUCCCCAUAUCAGUUUAAAAAAUUGAAAUAAAAAGAGAAGAAUCUUUAGAAAAAUGUUUACACAUAGGGCAUCCGGGAUUUUUGCUCUUGGCCAGGGGGUUAAUUGUGGCUGCUUCUCACUGAAAAUAACUUGCAGCCCAUCUCUAGGGAAGUGGAAGUGGAAAUUCUGUCUGCUUUAGAAGAGAAGCUUCAAGCAACAGCCCUUUUGCCGGAAAGCAGGACAGAGCCUCCAUUCGGGUCAUUUUCUCCCUGUGUGGUUUAUCUCUUUUUUUUGGUUCAAUAAAGGCAAUUUUUGCUGGUU